CGCCUGGGGAGUGCGGCCGCAAGGUUAAAACUCAAAUGAAUUGACGGGGGCCCGCACAAGCGGUGGAGCAUGUGGUUUAAUUCGACGCAACGCGAAGAACCUUACCUGGCCUUGACAUGCAGAGAACUUUCCAGAGAUGGAUUGGUGCCUUCGGGAACUCUGACACAGGUGCUGCAUGGCCGUCGUCAGCUCGUGUCGUGAGAUGUUGGGUUAAGCCCCGUAACGAGCGCAACCCCUAUCCCUAGUUGCUAGCAGUUCGGCUGAGAACUCUAGGGAGACUGCCGGUGACAAACCGGAGGAAGGUGGGGAUGACGUCAGGUCAUCAUGGCCCUUACGGCCAGGGCUACACACGUGCUACAAUGGUGCGCACAGAGGGCUGCAAACCCGCGAGGGGGAGCCAAUCUCACAAAACGCAUCGUAGUCCGGAUCGCAGUCUGCAACUCGACUGCAUGAAGUCGGAAUCGCUAGUAAUCGCGAAUCAGAAUGUCACGGUGAAUACGUUCCCGGGCCUUGUACACACCGCCCGUCACACCAUGGGAGUGGAUUGCACCAGAAGUGGUUAGUCUAACCUUCGGGAGGACGAUCACCACGGUGUGGUUCAUGACUGGGGUGAAGUCGUAACAAGGUAACCGUA
rnacentral:rRNA from 1 species